rnacentral:tRNA from 1 species
UCUGGAGUAGCUCAAUGGUGGAGCGGGUGGCUGUUAACCACUAGGCUGGGGGUUCGAGUCCCUCCUCCAGAG